GACGUAGGUGGCGAACGUUAUCCGGAAUUAUUGGGCGUAAAGGAUGCGUAGGUGGUGUAGUAAGUUAUCGGUGGUAAAUCGAGGCUCAACCUCGUGGAAGUCGGUAAUACUGCUAUGCUAGAGGAUAGGAGAGGUUAACGGAACUCCCUGUGGAGCGGUGAAAUGCGUAGAUAUAGGGAAGAACACCAAUCAGGCGAAGGCAGUUAACUAUUCUAUUCCUGACAUUGAGGCAUGAAAGCGUGGGGAGCAAAACGG
rnacentral:rRNA from 1 species